AGGAAGGCCAGGGGAAUGGUCAUACCCCAGUGAAGAAGUGAUGAGUGCCUGUGCUCAAGCAGGAUCCGUGGGGUGUGGGAGGACAGUGUGGUUUUCAGGGGCAGUAAAGAAGAGGGGCUCCCCAGCUUGGAUUUGGUGGUGGUGGGAAAGGGAGGAUUUAAGAUGAUAAUCCAGUCUCCUGGUUCAAGCAGUGGACACACAUUUGGGGGAAAGAGGACAAGUUCAGUUUUGCAGAUGCUGUAUUCUGGACAUCCAGGAGACAUUCGAGUGUGUCCUGAGUGGCGCAAGCCCAGGACAAGGACCCAAGACUGCAAGGCAACGUGUGGUUAAACCCAUGGCUGAGUCUAUCACUGAGUGGGACCACCUAGGGCCUGUAUAGAAGAGGUGAGUCCCAAGGCCACAGCUGGGAUCCCUGACCUCUAAGAUGGUAACAGGAGAGAAGGACAGUACAAAGAAGACGAGAAAUCCUGGCCAGAGCAGGUGGACCAAAAAAGGGUUUCUGGAAGAAGUGUCUACUGGGUCAAACAUUACAGGAAGUUUAAGUAAGAAAAAGACCAGAAGUGUCCACUGGUUGGGACAAAGAAGAGGCAGCAAGUAUCAGUAGCUGGUUCAGGAAGAUUGGUUGUGAAAGGAAGGUGGGAUGAGAGGGGGAAAUGUGGUCAAGAGAGAGGUUUUGUCAAGAUGGGGGACUUUAGCACAUGUAAAGCAUAGAGGAUUGCUUUAAAUUGCAGUUUACAGAAAUGCAGCAGGCUUUUCUGUCUCAAGGGAGUGGCAUAGUUUCUUUUGCAUCUUUUUAAGCUUGCAAGUCUCUGGAAAGUGAGUUUUCUCCAUCAACACAUGGAAAUAGAGGGCAGGACAGAGUAACAGGCGUUGUACAAGAGAACAACAGGAGGAUUGAAGGGGAACCAGUGGGAGGGAGGAGGAGUGAGCAGAAAGGAGGUAGAGCUCAAAAGGGAGAGGAAAGGACCUGAGCAUGUGUGGAAGAAGAGAGGUCAUGCGAAGAACUUCUCAGGGCAGCCAGGUAUGGCUUGGCAGACUGGGGAUGACUAAGAUUCCAUUUGCAGUUACCUGCUCAGCCAGGUAACAUCAACGCCCAGUAACCGUCAGUUAUGCCCAGUCACUUUUGUGUGAGUAGAGUUUGGAGGUCUUUAUUAGGGACAAAGGUUUAGAUCAAUGUGUGGAAAAAAGAAGAAAAUAGUCAUAAGAAUUAGAAUAUGAACGAGAAAGAGAAUUCUGCUUCAGUCAGUGCAGGGGUAACUGAGUGUCUAUUUCCCCCUGACGGCGAGGAGGGUCUGUCCAUUUCAUUGGCUAUAUCAGGAGGGAGGCUGGCAGGUUUGGGGCUCCAGGUACCUGAUUCUUGGUUACAGAGGGAAAAACCCAGGAAAAAUAGAAAGGUUGAAGAAAUGGGUCAGUUUCUUCUGUCUUCGUGCUGCUCCUUCCGUCUUUCCUCCCACAGCUGGAGGACAGCAUCCCCCACCCCACACACUCAAGUUCCUUUCCGGCUUUCAGAUGCUCCCCAUCUGCCCUGGAGGCAGCAUCAAGCCCUGCAGGUGACUGGGUGCAGGUGAUUUGGUAAUUUUGGCAAAUUACCAAUCACUAUUUCCAAAAGUCAAUUAAUUGAAAAACAAUUUGCUGAAAAUUAAUUUUCUAAAAGAUUAAUUUCCGUGAGAAGUGAUCUCUGGAAUUCACCCAAAAGUUGCUUUGGUUAAAUACUUUUACAAUUAUCACAAUUUGUGUGCUCUGGUGUUUAAAACACUGAGGAUUCCCGAUUCCCUCCCCCCCAGUUUUGGUUUUCUAUUUCACUUAUAUUUAGCAGUUUAGUGUCCAAGUAUCAGGUACGUUUUCAUCAGCUGUUUUGCUGUGGAUUUCUCAUUCCAUCCCUGGUAAAUGUCAAUUUCAUGUGGGUUUCUAUAUUUCAGGAGCGGGACACUUCUCAAACACACAAUAUUUUUUUGGUGUCAAUAGAUGGGUUUUCCCUCAACCGCAUUUAUUGUCAAUUCCAAUUUUAGACUGGUGUCUAAAUUGGACUAUAGUUCCCACUUUUGGAUUUUGUCAUUGGGGAAGUUGUCAUGGAUAUGUGAAAAUUAACAUGCAGAAAAAACUUUUAUUUGUCUGACUGCCAAACCACUUUGGAAAAAAAAAAGAUGAUGAAAAUUGGUGUAAAAUUGCACUUGAAGGGCAAAACCAUCUUUUCUGAAAACCAAAGGUUAGAAUAUGAAAAGCCUCAUGAAUUGCCAAAACCUUUAUAGUAACUACUGAGGAGUAGUCAGCUUUUGAAACAUGAACCACAUGCCUAUAAAUCUGAUAGAAAACAGUGGUAGAGAAACUAAAAGUGCAACAUCUCAACUAAAUAUAACCAAAGGCCAAAAUGUUGGGAAAAAAUCAUUAACAGAUUUCGAAACUUUCUAUGAAACACAUAUUCUUACACAUUUUGCAAAUAAUUACUAUAAAGAAGUUUUUAGUGAUUUGGGAAUUUGUGAAAUUGUCAUUUUGCAAAUUGAUUUUUAACAUAGUGGCUUUUAGGCAAUCGGUGACUGUGAGAGUGUGACUUUUAGCAAAUGUUCUUGAGGUCAGGAGUUUGAGACCAGCCUAGCCAACAUGAUGAAACCCUGUCUCUACCAAAAAAUACAAAAAUUAGCUGAGCAUGAUGGUGCAUGCCUAUAGUCCCAGCUACUGGGGAGGCUGAGGCACGAGAAUCGCUUGAACCCAGGAGGCGGAGGUUGCAGUGAGUCAAGAUCAUGCCACUGUACUCCAGUCUGGGCAACAGAGUGAGUGAUACCCUUUCUAAAAAAAAAAAAAAAUUGCUAGCACGGAAGCAUUAAGCCAGCACCACACAUUCUACACAUUCAAUUCCUGUGGCUCCCUCCUGCUUUGAGCAGUCUGGGGAUGCAACUGGGGCCAACCCAGUGGGCAAUGCAUUGAAUGCAGUGACAUUACUAACAUCUGUUUCUGACCCGUACUUCAGCUAUGACCCAUAUAUGACCUCCUCUGCUCUCAGGCUGAAGUCUAGGCACCUCGUGGGACCCUCCAGGCCUCACAGAUCUGGCUCCUCUACCCCGUGAGCCCAGUGAACACCUCUCGUAUGCAGGGCCCAGCGUCCGACCUACUCUUGAGAUGCACCCCACCACACUGCAGUUGGUGUCCUGUGCACUCCUCUCUAGUGUGUCACCUCUGAAAGGUAGGCACCAGCCAACCCUGGUCACCAUUCACAGUAGCACAGCUAAACUGGAUCAAUUAGUGAUUUUUAAAGUUCAAUGCUUUGAGACUUUUGCUUCUGGAAAGAUGGAGUAGAUAUAUUUUUCCUUAUUCUUCUCACUAAGUACAACUAAGGUAUUGUAUAAAACAAACAUAAGAAGACUCUGAAAGAUACAGAGAAGAAGACAGCCAGACUAGGGACCUCAGCCUCCCAACCCCAGCUCCCCGGGUAGUGUCAGGAAGGCCAAGUGCAGACUCUGGAUGAGACUUUUGCUCCUGCCUGGAGAUAACGAGCUGCUGACCCUCCUCCAUGUAGUGUGAAUGGAGAACACACAGGGAGUUUGGGCUGCCCCCCACAAGGAGGAGGCACCCAAAAUAUGUGCAGUAAAAGCCAACAGAACUGAGAGGAAAAAUAGACAAAUUCAUAAUUAUCAUUGGACAUUUUGCUACCAUUUCUCUACAAAUGAUAUAAAACCAAGUAGAAAAUCAGCAAGGAUGAGGAAGAACUCAACAACAUCAUCAACC
ensembl:lncRNA